GCGUGAGUGAAGAAGGCCUUCGGGUUGUAAAGCUCUUUCGAUAGUGAAGAUAAUGACGGUAGCUAUAGAAGAAGCCCCGGCUAAAUUCGUGCCAGCAGCCGCGGUAAUACGAAUGGGGCAAGCGUUGUUCGGAAUCACUGGGCUUAAAGCGUGCGUAGGCGGACAUGAAAGUCAGGAGUGAAAUCCCGGGGCUCAACCCCGGAAUUGCUUUUGAAACUCCAUGUCUGGAAUCCGGGAGGGGUUAGUGGAAUUCCGAGUGUAGAGGUGAAAUUCGC
rnacentral:rRNA from 1 species